UCAAUAUCUGCUGUCGAGAAGCUGUGGGUCUCAGCAAACAGGGGACAUCGGGGAGCAGCGGGGGUGGUCCUCCCCAAGGGCCCGGCUCCCUGGCUCACCACCGCUUUUCACGGCUGGCUUUAGAAAUCACUGUUCCCACGGCAGGUUUUUCUGCUUCCCAACCAGUUCUUGGUUGUGUUCGGUUUGGUGGAGUUUGCUGAAAAGGGUCAUGGCUCGUUUCUGAUAUGGGAAGCAUCACCCUUCUGAAAGGAAGACAGUUCAUGAAAAUAGCACUUCCCUGACAAGGUGGCAGGGCUUCCCAGGUGGCUCAGUGAUAAAGAAUCUAUCAAAGCAGGAGACACAGGUUCG